rnacentral:rRNA from 1 species
UACAGAGGGUGCAAGCGUUAAUCGGAAUUACUGGGCGUAAAGCGUGCGUAGUCGGUUAUUUAAGUCGGAUGUGAAAUCCCCGGGCUCAACCUGGGAAUUGCAUUCGAUACUGGGUAGCUAGAGUUCGGCAGAGGGAAGCGGAAUUUCGGGUGUAGCGGUGAAAUGCGUAGAUAUCCGAAGGAACAUCAGUGGCGAAAGCGGCUUCCUGGACCAGAACUGACGAUCAGGCACGAAAGCGUGGGGGAGCAAACAGG